CAGCCAAUAAUUCUAGUGAUCCUGAACUCUAUUUGGAUGACACAAAUAGUAAAAGAAGGUGUGGAUCAUAUAGCCGAGGGACUGGGGUACCAACUUUGGGCUCAGACAGUGCUCCAAGCCCAAACGUUAGGAACGCUGAACAUGAUAAACUCCAACGAGUUAAACUCGCUUAUGACUCACAUGUUCAAGAGCAUUCUAUUCUACCCUAACUUUCUUUACCUCUAAAAACUAGAGACACUAAAGUUUGUGCCAUGGACACCACCAUCGAACAAUCCCAUCCUAAUACCAACACGAGUGGUAGUCAACGUAGUCGAAGGCCAAGGAAAAGAAAAACCUAUAAUGCUAGAGGAAAUACAGCAGACAAAUGCAGAGAUUGAACAAUUCCUAGCAACGUUUGGGGAGCCAAAACCAAAUUCUCCAUUCUUGAAAAAACCCUUCGAAAAGAAUAUGAAGAGCCUUACAGCACAACUACUACAAUACUAUGUCCAAAGGAGAUGAGGUCCUUCAAUCUAUGCCUGAGGAACAUGACAAACUAGACUAGUA
rnacentral:lncRNA from 1 species